ACCUCCUGCCCGAUUCACAUUCACCCUGCUGAGCUACCUUCCUUCCUGCCAGCUGUCUGCUUGAAACAACCUGUCAACCAGCAUCUGCUGGUUCCCAGCACAUCCCUGAAGUGAUCACAGUGCCAACACUUUGGUUCCUCAAACACAGAGCUAUUCCUCCUGAGGAACCCCAAGCUGUUGACAGGAAACACGCCUUCUGCUCAUUGCAAACACUGGGGAGUGGAGCAGAGGUCUUUGGGAGUCUUUGUGCGUAUCAAAGCGAGGAACCCGUCCAGCUCUCAGCAUCCUUUUUCAGCGCUCUGCUGCCCCUAAAGCACCAGCUGCCAUCGCAGGGAGCGGUCACAGGGAAUCAAAGCUCAGGACCAUCUCUUGGGGUCGGGGACAAAAUCUUACGGACCACUCUAGUAAGAAAAACAAGAAGAGCUCAGGAGCUGCUGCACCUCAGACUGAUCAGCCCACAUCAGCCCCGCAGAGACAGCGAUUUCACGCUGGUGUUAUGCACCGUAACACGCAAGCACGAGCGCUCAGUCUGGGAGCAGAACAGCAAACUCAUCAUGCCCUAUUUAGCAAAAUGUUCCCUGCCAACAUGAAAUUCUGACCCUCACAUUUUAUUAAAGGGAUUAUAUCUUAAAGCAAACUAUUUCAGUCCCUUAGCUAGCUCCUUUCUGUGGAAACUUGCGAGACAAUUUUGAGGACCGUGGCGGGAUCAAGAUGAAACACUUCUGCUUUGCCCACUUAUUUCUUCAGAUGUGCUCACAUCCUUCCUCUCCUCUGGUGUGUCCCACCUCGUGGUGUCAGCAGCCAUUUGUGAAGCAUCUUUGGCUUUAGUCUCAUCCUGCUUGCAAUUAAAUAUGUGGAAUUAAAUAGGUUGCUGUAGGGUCAGCUCUUUUGCUGGUGACAAAUAGCCCUGCUAACAACCUGCAUAACUCAAGAAGAGCAUCUCCAAGGCCAGAGGAACUGGAAGGGCAGUUUUACCCUCGAUUGUUUUUGUGAGGGUUUUAAUCCAUUCUAGUUAAUGGUAAGAAUAUACAGUUUAUAUUGUAUAUGAUUGCAUAUGCAUGUUGCAAGGAAGUGGGGGUGGGCCACAUGUUGGGGUAGAUUUGAUAGAACAGCUUUGUGUCAAAUGAAUAGGUGGGUUUAUUAUAGACUUUCCUUGCUCCAAGCUUCAGAUGAGAGAAAUCCUAUAAUCCCGCCCUACUUUAAUACUGGAUUAAUGUGGAUUUGUUAAUAAAAUGCUAGUGAA